CCUGAGCGAGGCGAGGGCGGGGCGAGGACGCGAGAAGCGGGGGGAGAAUGGCGCUGUUAAACCGCCGAUCUCUGGAAUGGCUCUACUCGCUGAUUCUUCUUGCUAUUGUAUUGCUUUCAUGGGGCUAUGUCAUUUACGCAACACGAAUAGCAGCCAAAUGGCAAUUGGAGGAGUCGUAUCCCAUACAAGGCCAGAAUACUUGAGACAUCUCCAGAGUGGAAUACCACAGAAAUACAGAGACAUUCUAGAACUCCAUAAAUCAUAAUCUGCAAAAACAUGAAUUCCAAACAAGAGUGGUUGACUCAGGAGUAAUACUGAAGCUUCAGAAAUACAGAUAAAGAUAACAAAACAGCUGUGAACAUCUGGUACAGUACUAUUAACAUAAUUGAAAAAAUAUCCUUGAAUGUCAUUUUUUAAAGAGAAUUUUACAUUUUCUCCACUUUACUGCUUAUUUUAAUGUGAUUCAGAAGACUACGGCUACAAGGAUAACUGCAAGCCCAAAGAGUCAUUAUUAUGGAAAAAUAACUAGAUACUUUGUGCAAGAAACUGGUUUUCAAGUUAAAAGUUACACUCCUACACUGCUUUCAAUGGUACAGAAAUAAAUACCUGGAUAUCUGUGGAAGGUUUAGCAAAAAUGUACGUAGUAUCCAGUGAAAAUUUGAAGUUAAAAGAUUGUUCAAGCUGUUUAAUGCUAUUCUGAAGACAAAUCCUCAUCAUACUGACCUGCGAAUGUUGUAAAUGAGAAGAUUGGUUGCACUUUUUCAUUGCUAUCAUAACUGAACGCUUGCUGCACAAGGCAGAUGCCAAAUGAGAACCACCUGAUGAGAACCACCUGUAGAUCUACCAGUAGAUUUAGGAAGUGGUAUAUGCUCUUGCUAGCUCCUGUGACAUUCUAUCAUUGCAGAUUAAUGAUACCACUAGCAAAGUAAUGCUAUUCACUAACAAGCACAAGAGGGUAAAUUAUUGCAUGAUCAGAGUUUACUGUAAGUAACCUGACCCAGAAUACGUCAGACAGUGAUUAUUUGAUAAGGAAACUGAGGCCGGUUUCAUUCUACUGAUAUUUUAGAAAACCAGGUAUUCAGUCAUAAGGCUGCCGGAGACCUUAAUUUAAUUUUAAUGCCUCUAGCAUUAAAAAAAAUGAAUCGCAAUUCAUGACUUAGUAGGAAUAGUCACAUGAAGUUUUUAGUUGUGGGACCUACAUAGAACAGUACUAAUUUAAUAAAGGCCAACCAUGCCCUUGUGAUGUCAGUUCUUUUAUCUGGAUAAAUGGUAAUGUAUCACAUCUUCACCCAAUGAGAUAUAUUAGCCUAUUGAUAAUUUAUGCAUAUAUUACUUUUAACAAAUCAUUUCUGGCUUUAGCUUUUAAACUGAAAUAAGCAUAUAACAAAAACUAAACCAAAUCUGAUUAGGGUAAGUUUUCUUACAAUCUUUGGGGAAGGUUAUAUAUGGGAUUGAUCUACACCAGAGCCAAGGUUGCCUACCCCUGAUCUACAGUCACUAAUUAAUAGGCUAUAUCAACAGAGCAAAGCCCACACCUUUCUAUUAUGGAAGACGUUACCUAGUCUGAUAAUGAAACAAACUUAGAAAACACCAAGGACUCAAAGGUCACAUUUUAAUUUAUUUAUUUCAUAAAACGAGUUAUUCCUUAGGCCUUACAGCAAAGUUAAAAACAACAGUUAACAAAAACAAAUACUAAAAACAUUAAAAACAAUACAAACUAAGGCCUUUUCAUCCAGCUAUGUAAGAUAAACAAUAUGCACAAGGACACCUACCUAUUGGUUAAAAUACAAAGCAAAAAAUUGUAACUCAGAGGAAAGAUGAAAGACUUUAGUAAUACUUAACAUAAACACAAGUAAUCCUUGAAAGAUGAACAUACUGGAGCCUGCCCAUUAGGAUCAUGUCAAAAAUGUCGUAAAAUGAAUUGGGCUCAAUUUUAUGACAAUUUAAUUUACUAAAAUUGUUAUUCUUUAUGCCUUACAGCAAAGUUCAAAGCAAUAGUAAACAAGUAAUUAUUAAAAACAUUCUUCCUAACUUCUUUCACCGCUUCAGGUGUCGAGGGAGAUACAGCGUUCUGGUUCUUACUCUUUUGGUGGCCUCAACUAUUGUUAAUUAAAAACAUUAAAAACUUAAGGCCUUUUCAUUGAGCCUACAUAAAGUAAACAAUAUGUAUAAGGACAUCUAAAUAUUAAACUACAAAGCAAAAGCUUUUAACAAAGAGAACUAACUUUUCUAGGAAUACUUAACAAGGACUAUAUAUUAAUUUAAAAUGUUUCUCUUAAUUUAUUGUCUUUUUCCACUCCUCUCAUUUUCUCACUGGAGAGACAUUCAUUAUUCUUAUGAUUGGCAGCACCAUCUCUGCACCUGGCAGAGGAUGGUGAUGCAGAUCUACUAGCAUCAGUUAUCACUAAAGCUAUGCAAUUGGAUAGGUUGCACUUGAAUCUUCUUCCCAGUGCUAUUCCCACUAUAUUCCCACUUAUCGGCAAAACCAUCUCCAUUUGACUCGAUCCAGGGCACCUUCGGGGGCAACGCCCACGUAUUUCAUGUCCGUCUUGAUGCAAUCCAUCCACCUUUUCUUGGGUCUGCCACAAGGUUACUGGCCAUCAGGAUCCAGAGGCAUGGCGGUCUUCCCUACGCGAGUCUUUUUUACCAUGUACAAUAUGCCCGUACCAUCUAAGUCUUCCUUCCCACAUUUUUGCUACGAGAUGGAAGACUUAGAGCAGGGAUGUCAAACUUGCCACAUCACAUACUUUUUUCCCCUUGCCGGAGCUGAGGUGAGUGCAGUUUCCGUGUGAUGCAUCCGGCCCUUGGGCCGGCAGUUUGACACCCCUGACUUAGAGGGUAUAGACACAUUAUAUGUGGUGAGGAAGACCUGCUGGUGAGGACAGCUAUGUGUGCAGCCAUAGGCUGCACUUUAUUCAUGUCUUUAUCAUCAGCUGAAAUCUCAGAGUCUAAGGACAGCGGAACAAGUUCAGGAGUUCUCUCAGCUAAUGGUUUUACAUAGUCAACAACACAAUUGUCAAAAAAUUGUGACAGUCAUCAUUCACUUCUAUGUUUGCUGGUAAUGACAUCUGCAACCCAAUUAUGUUUGCAGAACGUUCUUCAUCAGAAUUUUCAGAAGUAUCUAAAGCAGUAGAUGCAGAAGCACGAAUCUGCUCUAAAUUGGAAUAAGAUGGGCCAGGCGUUUUCAUCCUCCUAGGGUGCCUGGCCUGUAUCACUUCUGAAAGCAUUACGUUCUGGUACUUGGGGUUUCAGUCUCAUUGGGAGAGAUUGUGAUAUUCGAAGAUUCAGAGUUGCUUCCUUGCUCACGAGAUGGAGCCGGAUAGUCAUAAUUUGCAUGCCUGUCAUCUAGAUCUAUGUUAAAGGAUAUCUAGCAAAGUUGAUAAAUUCAUGUAAAAAGCCUUCCUUACUUUGGAAUAAGAAAGGUUGUAAAUUCAUUACCACAUGCCUGGCUUUCUAGAUCAAACGUAAUCAAAUUAUUAUAUAUAAUAUUGCACAAUAUGAAUUGGAGAAUCAUGAAUUCCAAACAGGACUGUAAGCUCACGUUUAAACCAGGGAGGCAGCCUCUGAAGGCAGCCAGGAUUCCUAUGGAAAAAAUUAGCCGAUAUGUCCCUAUAACCCCCACUACUGGCAUUCCCAUCUAUGGACCCAAUGGAGGAUGGUGAUGCAGAUCUAGAUACAGAUUUCUUUCUUUUUAUCACACCUUGUUAUACGAGCGACUAUCCCUUCGUAAAUAAUUUCAAUGCCUGGGCUUCUUGACCGUUUUUUCUUCUUUUCUUGUUGAGUUUCAGCUUGAGCUUGCUUGUCUGCAAUGUUAGCUGCCUUUCUGCAAAUGGCCUGGUGCUUUGGUAAAGAUUUCUUCAGAAGCUUUAGACUUUCUCUUGUAGACGAACUUUUUCUCUCUACCUCUCUGGUACAAUACUCAAACCUUAAUGGAUUUUUAUCCCAAUCAUCUUAGAUGAUGCACUUUUUCAAUGUCAUCAAAUUUUGCUAAACAACCUUACUAAAUCUAAAUUAAAAUUACAUUUUCUCCAAGCUUAGUAAUAACAGUAACCCCUAACCUGCCUAUUUAUUAGUUCUGGGUAUAUUUAUGAAGCUUUAGUGUGAAUAGCCUCAGGGUUCAAAAUGAUUUACCUGAAUGAAGAAAGUUUAAUUUCUUUGGCUGCUAUGUUCACUGUAACUCUUUAUUCCAUUUUGUUUUAUUUAUCUUUUAAUGUUGUUUCUAAAUUGUAUGUUUUCUAAGGCCUAUCAAUAACCAAAAUAAAAUACUUUGUUGUUGGA